UCCGAUUCAUCACCGGCGGUCUCCUUAGAGUCCCCAACUAAAUGCUGGCAACUAAGAACAAGGGUUGCGCUCGUUACGGGACUUAACCCAACAUCUCACAACACGAGCUGACGACAGCCAUGCAACACCUGUCUCUGCGUUCCUUUCGGCACUCCAGCCUUUAAGCCGGAUUCGCAGGAUGUCAAGGGUAGGUAAGGUUCUUCGCGUUGCGUCGAAUUAAACCACAUGCUCCACCGCUUGUGCGGGCCCCCGUCAAUUCCUUUGAGUUUCAACCUUGCGGCCGUACUUCCCAGGCGGACAACUUAUCGCGUUAGCUUCGAUACCGAUGGGUUUCCCCACCAACAUCUAGUUGUCAUCGUUUAUGGCGUGGACUAC
rnacentral:misc_RNA from 1 species